AGCGAACGCUGGCGGCAGGCUUAACACAUGCAAGUCGAGCGGGCAUCUUCGGAUGUCAGCGGUAGACGGGUGAGUAACACGUGGGAACGUACCCUUCGGUUCGGAACAACUCUGGGAAACUGGAGCUAAUACCGGAUACGCCCUUAUGGGGAAAGGUUUACUGCCGAAGGAUCGGCCCGCGUCUGAUUAGCUAGUUGGUGGGGUAACGGCCUACCAAGGCGACGAUCAGUAGCUGGUCUGAGAGGAUGAUCAGCCACACUGGGACUGAGACACGGCCCAGACUCCUACGGGAGGCAGCAGUGGGGAAUAUUGGACAAUGGGCGCAAGCCUGAUCCAGCCAUGCCGCGUGAGUGAUGAAGGCCUUAGGGUUGUAAAGCUCUUUUGUCCGGGACGAUAAUGACGGUACCGGAAGAAUAAGCCCCGGCUAACUUCGUG
rnacentral:rRNA from 1 species